CGCGUAGGCGGUACUGUAAGUCAGGUGUGAAAGUCCUGGGCUCAACCCAGGAAGUGCAUCUGAAACUGCAGAACUUGAGUAUCGGAGGGGAAAGUGGAAUUCCAGGUGUAGAGGUGAAAUUCGUAGAUAUCUGGAGGAACACCGGUGGCGAAGGCGACUUUCUGGACGAAUACUGACGCUGAGGCGCGAAAGCGUGGGGAGCAAACAGGAUUAGAUACCCUGGUAGUCC
rnacentral:rRNA from 1 species